rnacentral:rRNA from 1 species
CUAGCGACAGGCCUAACACAUGCAAGUCGAGGGCGAGCACAAGGAGCAAUCUGAGGUGGCGACCGGCGCACGGGUGAGUAACACGUAUGCAACCUGCCUGUAAGCGGGGAAUAACCCGUUGAAAGACGGACUAAUACCGCAUAAUACUAAAUUACUGCAUGGUAAUUUAUUUAAACAUUUAUGGCUUACAGAUGGGCAUGCGCAUGAUUAGCUAGUUGGAGAGGUAACGGCUCCCCAAGGCAACGAUCAUUAGGGGUUCUGAGAGGAAGGUCCCCCACACUGGUACUGAGACACGGACCAGACUCCUACGGGAGGCAGCAGUGAGGAAUAUUGGUCAAUGGACGAGAGUCUGAACCAGCCAAGUCGCGUGCAGGAAGAAUGUCCCUAUGGAUUGUAAACUGCUUUUGCAGGGGAAUAAAGUGCAUCACGUGUGAUGUUUUGUAUGUACUCUGCGAAUAAGGAUCGGCUAACUCCGUGCCAGCAGCCGC